UCUCCAGCGCCCUGUUGCUUCCUUUAUUUAGGUACCGUGCUCUCAGGCAACUUGCUCCCACAUGGAGCUUUCCAUCCCUCGAUUACGUUUCUCCACCAUUUCUAUCUGACUGUACCUCCCAGAGUGUGAACCCUAAAGAGGGCGAGGACCCCAGGAUCCCCAGGGUGCCCAGAACCCACAGAGCAGACCCUCCGGCAGUGACCACCUUGCUCCACGGCCCUUGCUGAUCCAAGGAGACUGCAUGGUGUCAGUUUUUUGGCCAUGCGGCAUGUGGGAUCUUAUCUCGCUGACCAGGGAUCGAACAGAUGCCCCCUGCCCUGGAAGGUGAAGUCUUAACCACUGGGCUACCAAAGGGAAGGUUUGACACAAUCUCAGAAGACAGAAGCACGCUUUCAUCUCCUGUGUUCUUCCUACCCGUCUCCCUGCUACCAUCUAACCAGAAGGUUCCUGAAGUUGCUGCUUCCAUCCUGGAGAAGGAGGUAACCCCAGGAUGGGCGGUUGACCCCAUCCACAGCCUUGCUUCUGUAUUCCUGCAUCCUGUCUCCAAAUCCUGCAUUUGAGGGACUGAAAAUUUUGGAUUCUGUGUAUCUUCUAUGGAGGGGUUUACUGUGUAUAUAAAUGCAUGUGUAUGUCUAGCACGUAAGCACUCGGGUUCAUGGGUUCAGUCCCUGGUUGGGGAAUUAAGAUCCUACAUGCUGUGAAGUGUGGGACCCUCUCCAAAAAAAGAUGCUAAGAAGGAAAUGGCAACCCACGCCAGUGUUCUUGCCUGGAGAAUCCCAGGGACGGCGGAGCCUAGUGAGCUGCUGUCUAUGGGGUCGCACAGAGUCAGACACGACUGAAGUGACUUAGCAGCAGCAGCAGCUGCAGUAAUUAACACAGCAUUGUAAAUCAACUGGACUUCAAUUAAAACAAAGAAUUCCCUGGAGGAAGGAAGAUGGAUCCAAGCUAACCAUAAGAAGGGAAACUGCUGUAGAGUUCUUGGUGGUCUGGUGAGGACACUGGAUUUUCUAUCCGCCAGGGAUUGGAGAUUGAAGUCCAUCUUGCCCAUAGCAUCGUCCAUUGUCAGGGAGACUCCCUAGGUGAUAACCAAGUCAGACAUCAAGUCGUGUCUCCAGUGGGAGAGAAGGAAGUGCUCUUUGGGGCUGUGCAAAUCCCAGGUGAUCUCUGCCUGCAGGAGCAGGCGGUGUAGACCAGCAUCGCUCUCCACAGGCGUGGAGCUCACACGCUGCCCCAGCCCAUCUGGGUUCUGCUCCUGACUCUGCCACAGGCCGGCGUGGAUCCUUGGGCAGGAUGACCUUCUCGUUAUUCCUCAUCUAUGAAACGGGGAUGAUAAUAAUCCAUUAAGUCUGGAAGUGUAUGGCUGUCCUCAAGGACAUCUUCAAUCUAUAAAAAAUAUAUUUUUAUGGACACAUGGUAGUACUGACUUUUUAAAAAAAUAUUUGUUAAUUUGACAUUGCCGGGUCUUCAAUUUCCGUGGAGGCACGUGGGGUCUUUCAUUGUAGCGUGUGGGGGUCUACUGCGCUGACGAGGGAUCGAAUCUGGGCCCUCUGCAUUGAGAGGACAGAGUCUCAGCCACUGGACCACCGGGGGAGUCCCUUGUCGUACUGACUCCUGUCAGAAAAAGACUGUGAAAGAAUAAACAGGUAAAAGCAGAUUCGUAAGUGCUCAGAUCAACUCCCCAGCUCUGUUCUCUCCGCCUUUCACCCUCCAGUUCCUUUCAACUCUGUAAAUAAAGCCUGUUGGAAACUGAACUAAUGAAAGUGAUCCCAUCCAUAGACCUGUGUCCGUGUCAUGCAGUUGACUAUUGCCUUGUGGCUACACCUGUUUUGCAACUAUUCCUAAGUUUAUUUCAGAAUUCCUUAUUCUCUCUAUACGUCUAGGCUCUUUGGGCUCUCCUUUGAACCUUCUGUGACAAUUUUACUG